AGAAGAAGAGUAGAGGAGAGAGAGAGGAAAGAAUGUGAAGAUGAGAGAAAGAGAGAAAAAAAGGAAGAAAAUACCUGGUUGCUUUGUUUCUCCUUGUGUUUUGCAUUUUGUAGGUGGUGUAAAGUGAAGCUACUUCAGGGUUUUCUUUUGUUUUAUCUUGUUAAAACAAAAAUUAUAAAAAAAAAGGAGAAAGUUUCCAUUUCUUUGAAGAGGCAUCGCCUCUUCGACCCAUAACCUCUUGCCUUGAAGGUCUUAGGUGCGCGCCUUUUCUCAUUUGCCUUGCCUCAGCUAGGCGAGGCGUCAGGGCCUCGACUUGCCUCGCUUGGCGCCUUUUACAACAUUGUUUGAAAUAGAUAGAAACUGAAACAUUGAUGUUCCACUCAUCAUUACUACUACAACCAUUAUGGGUGCUACUGCUCCUUCCAUGGAAGACACCUACACCACCACUUGAAUUGAUGGCAUCAUUUAGGACCUUAGGAUUGUUGGUGUGAAGCUUUUCGAAAAAAAAAGGAAACGAAGCAUCUGAGAGAGUUAUUGUGUCGCAUACAGUGGUGGUGAUUGUCAUAAUGGAGAGUAGGCAAACUGGUUUUAAGGAGAGAAAUUGGUAUUGGGGUUUAAAUAGAGUUUGUGAGAAGAGAUGAGCUGAAGUAGAGCCAUAGAUAGAAGAACAGGGCGAGAGGUUUAAUUUGGGGAUUGGAAGUGCUUCUGUUAGAUUUAACAGAAAUUUUAAAGGGAAUUUUCAAUUGAAUUAAAGUCUAAAGUUUAUGGUAGAAUUGUUAAAAAAAAGUUUAGGAUAUAAUUGUAAAAUAUGACAAAAUUUAGAUUUUUUUGGUCAUUUCCCCUUUAAUUAUUUAUUUUUUGAAAACCAUUCUGGAGUUCUUUAUAUGUAUAAUAUGAUAUAUAGUUGUUUGAUUGUUUUGUAAGCUUUUGUGAUUGAUAGGGAAUUUGAUUUCCCUUGGCAAUUUUCUGAACUAGUGUAGAUUCUAUUUCUCUUCUUUUGUGUUUGAUACUUGAUAUAGUUAAAAACUCUGUUUUUCCUUCCUUUGUCAUGACUUGAAGUAGGACCAUCUGGAAAACCUUUAACUAAUAUUUGUUUCGGUUUGCAUAAUUUUCUUAUUCAUUUGUAUGUUAAUUGGUUUUUUCUGCACUAGGUGUUACGCUACUGUUCAACGAGCCUUCAGAUGCUCGCAAACCUGAUAUAA
rnacentral:misc_RNA from 1 species